rnacentral:rRNA from 1 species
UUAUGAUUAGUGGCGCACGGGUGAGUAAUAUAUAGGUAAUGUACCUCUUAGUCUGGGAUAGCCACUGGAAACGAUGAUUAAUACUAGAUACUCCUUUUCAUUUCAAGAUGAAUCGGGAAAGUUUUUCGCUAAGAGAUCGGUCUAUAUCCCAUCAGCUUGUUGGUAGUGUAAGAGACUACCAAGGCUAUGACGGGUAGCGGGUUUGAGAGGAUGAUCCGCCACACUGGUACUGAGACACGGACCAGACUCC